rnacentral:rRNA from 1 species
UACGGAGGGGGCUAGCGUUGUUCGGAAUUACUGGGCGUAAAGCGCACGUAGGCGGCUUUGCAAGUCAGAGGUGAAAGCCCGGGGCUCAACCCCGGAAUUGCCUUUGAGACUGCAUCGCUAGAAUUGUGGAGAGGUAAGUGGAAUUCCGAGUGUAGAGGUGAAAUUCGUAGAUAUUCGGAAGAACACCAGUGGCGAAGGCGGCUCACUGGCUCAUACUGGACGCUGAGGUGCGAAAGCGUGGGGAGCAAACAGG